rnacentral:rRNA from 1 species
GACAGAGGUGCCGAGCGUUGUUCGGAAUUACUGGGCGUAAAGCGCACGUAGGCGGCUUUGCAAGUCAGAGGUGAAAGCCCGGGGCUCAACCCCGGAAUUGCCUUUGAGACUGCAUCGCUAGAAUUGUGGAGAGGUAAGUGGAAUUCCGAGUGUAGAGGUGAAAUUCGUAGAUAUUCGGAAGAACACCAGUGGCGAAGGCGACUUACUGGACACAUAUUGACGCUGAGGUGCGAAAGCGUGGGGAGCAAACAGG